rnacentral:rRNA from 1 species
GACGAACGCUGGCGGCGUGCCUAAUACAUGCAAGUCGAACGCAGUGGGGACGGGUGAGUAACACGUGGGUAACCUCCCAUCAGAGGGGAUAACACUUGGAAACAGGUGCUAAACCGAUACUGAUGGAUGGACCCGCGGUGCAUUAGCAAGUUGGUGAGGUAACGGCUCACCAAGGCGACGAUGCAUAGCCGACAAGAGAGGGGGAUAGGACACACAGGGAAUGAGACACGGCCCAGACUCCUACGGGAGGCAGCAGUAGCGAUGCUUCGGCAAGGGACGAAAGGCUGACCGAGCAACGCAGCGUGAUUGAAGAAGGAUUGCGUGUCGUAAAACUCUGGUGUUAGAGAAGCGGUAUCGAACCAGAAAGCCACGGCUAACUACGUGCCAGCAGCCGCGGUAAUAC